rnacentral:rRNA from 1 species
UCAGGACGAACGCUGGCGGCGUGCUUUACACAUGCAAGUCGAACGAUGAUGCCCAGCUUGCUGGGUUGAUUAGUGGCGAACGGGUGAGUAACACGUGAGUAACCUGCCCCUGACUUCGGGAUAAGCGCUGGAAACGGCGUCUAAUACCGGAUAUGAGCUGUCCUCGCAUGGGGAUGGUUGGAAAGUUUUUCGGUUGGGGAUGGGCUCGCGGCCUAUCAGCUUGUUGGUGGGGUGAUGGCCUACCAAGGCGACGACGGGUAGCCGGCCUGAGAGGGCGACCGGCCACACUGGGACUGAGACACGGCCCAGACUCCUACGGGAGGCAGCAGUGGGGAAUAUUGCACAAUGGGCGAAAGCCUGAUGCAGCGACGCCGCGUGAGGGAUGACGGCCUUCGGGUUGUAAACCUCUUUCAGUAGGGAAGAAGCGAAAGUGACGGUACCUGCAGAAGAAGCGCCGGCUAACUACGUGCCAGCAGCCGCGGUAAUACGUAGGGCGCAAGCGUUGUCCGGAAUUAUUGGGCGUAAAGAGCUCGUAGGCGGUUUGUCGCGUCUGGUGUGAAAACUCGAGGCUCAACCUCGAGCUUGCAUCGGGUACGGGCAGACUAGAGUGUGGUAGGGGUGACUGGAAUUCCUGGUGUAGCGGUGGAAUGCGCAGAUAUCAGGAGGAACACCGAUGGCGAAGGCAGGUCACUGGGCCACUACUGACGCUGAGGAGCGAAAGCAUGGGGAGCGAACAGGAUUAGAUACCCUGGUAGUCCAUGCCGUAAACGUUGGGCACUAGGUGUGGGGCUCAUUCCACGAGUUCCGUGCCGCAGCUAACGCAUUA